GACGAACGCUGGCGGCGUGCUUAAUACAUGCAAGUCGAACGGAAAGGCCCUGCUUUUGUGGGGUGCUCGAGUGGCGAACGGGUGAGUAACACGUGAGUAACCUGCCCUUGACUUUGGGAUAACUCCAGGAAACUGGGGCUAAUACCGGAUAGGAGCUCCUGCUGCAUGGUGGGGGUUGGAAAGUUUCGGCGGUUGGGGAUGGACUGGCGGCUUAUCAGCUUGUUGGUGGGGUAGUGGCUUACCAAGGCUUUGACGGGUAGCCGGCCUGAGAGGGUGACCGGCCACAUUGGGACUGAGAGACGGACCAGACUCCUACGGGAGGCAGCAGUGGGGAAUAUUGCACAAUGGGCGGAAGCCAGAUGCAGCAGCGCCGCGUGCGGGAUGACGUCCUUCGGGUUGUAAACCACUUUCGCCUGUGACGAAGCGUGAGUGACGGUAAUGGGUAAAGAAGCACCGGCUAACUACGUG
rnacentral:rRNA from 1 species